AUGAUGUGGAUUAAUUCGAUGCAACGCGAAAACCUUACCUACCCUUGACAUGUCUGGAACCUUGCUGAGAGGCGAGGGUGCCUUCGGGAGCCAGAACACAGGUGCUGCAUGGCUGUCGUCAGCUCGUGUCGUGAGAUGUUGGGUUAAGUCCCGCAACGAGCGCAACCCUUGUCACUAGUUGCCACCAUUGAGUUGGGCACUCUAGUGAGACUGCCGGUGACAAACCGGAGGAAGGUGGGGAUGACGUCAAGUCCUCAUGGCCCUUAUGGGUAGGGCUUCACACGUCAUACAAUGGUCGGUACAGAGGGUUGCCAAACCGCGAGGUGGAGCCAAUCCCUUAAAGCCGAUCGUAGUCCGGAUCGUAGUCUGCAACUCGACUACGUGAAGUCGGAAUCGCUAGUAAUCGCGGAUCAGCACGCCGCGGUGAAUACGUUCCCAGGCCUU
rnacentral:rRNA from 1 species